GACAGCAGUAGCCACGGUAACACGUAGGGUGCGAGCGUUAAUCGGAAUUACUGGGCGUAAAGCGUGCGCAGGCGGUUAUAUAAGACAGAUAUGAAAUCCCCGGGCUCAACCUGGGACCUGUAUUUGUGACUGUAUAGCUAGAGUACGGUAGAGGGGGAUGGAAUUCCGCGUGUAGCAGUGAAAUGCGUAGAUAUGCGGAGGAACACCGAUGGCGAAGGCAAUCCCCUGGACCUGUACUGACGCUCAUGCACGAAAGCGUGGGGAGCAAACAGGAUUAGAUACCCCAGUAGUCCCUGUCUCUUAUAA
rnacentral:rRNA from 1 species